ensembl:snRNA U6 U6 spliceosomal RNA
GCGCUGGCUUAGGCAGCACGUAUAUUAAAAUUGGAGCAAUACAGAGAAGAUUAGCAUGGCCCCUGUGCAAGGAUGACACGCAAAUUCGUGAAGCAUUCCAUAUUUUU